rnacentral:tRNA from 1 species
AGCACAGAAUUUAGUACAUCAUUCUUUAGAGAGCCCCAAUUCCUUUCAGGGAAAGGGCUUCAGAACUCGUGCAGCUGAUUUGUAAUCAGCCGGUCGCAGGUUCGAGUCCUGUCACCA